rnacentral:rRNA from 1 species
UCUUUAUUUUAAAAAUUUUUAUUACUUAAGUAGUGUGAACAGUUAAUUUAUGGAGAGUAAUAUAAGUUGGUUAAUUUUAGAAUGUUUGAAACUUAAAAGGCUUGGCGGUGUUAUAUAUCCUUCCAGAGGAGUUUGCUUAUUAAUUUGAUAAUCCUCAAUUUAUACUUACUUUUUUUUGAAUUUUAAAUGAUUUAUCAGUUUGUAUAUUGCUGUCAUCAGUUUAUUUUGUAAAAAUUUUAUAAGAAACUUAAUAAUGUAAUGAUUGUUAUGUCAAGUCAAAAUGCAGCUAAUAAGAAAGGUUUAAAGUGAACUACAGUUUAUAAUUUUUAAGUCGGAUUAAAUUAUGUAAUUAUUUUGUGAAGUUGGAUUUGGUAGUAAUAUUAUAAUAGUGAGGUUUUAUGAAUUAGGUUUUAUAAUGCGU